rnacentral:rRNA from 1 species
GAUGAACGCUGGCGGCGUGCCUAACACAUGCAAGUCGAACGGAGUCCAGCCUUUAAGACCUUCGGGUCAAAGAGGGGAAGACUGAGUGGCGGACGGGUGAGUAACACGUGGGCAACCUGGCUCAUAGAGGGGGAUAACAGAGAGAAAUUUCUGCUAAUACCGCAUAAGCACACACUGCCGCAUGGCAGAGGGUGAAAAGAGAAUCGCUAUGAGAUGGACCCGCGUCUGAUUAGCCAGUUGGCAGGGUAAGAGCCUACCAACGCGACGAUCAGUAGCCGAUCUGAGAGGAUGAACGGCCACAUUGGGACUGAGACACGGCCCAAACGCCUACGGGAGGCAGCAGUGGGGGAUAUUGCACAAUGGGGGGAACCCUGAUGCAGCGACGCCGCGUGAGUGAAGAAGUAUUUCGGUAUGUAAAGCUCUAUCAGCAGGGAAGAUAAUGACAGUACCUGAAUAAGAAGCCCCGGCUAACUACGU